CUCUCGGUUCUCUCUCUCUCUCUCCCUCUUCUUCUUUCUCUCUCGCCCAAAAUUGCAGAAGCUCGACGCCGGAAGGUCGCUGCUGCUGCCGUCGCUGCCGGGAGGCGCUGCUGUGCUCCCCGCCGGAAGCCGCCGUCGCACGGUCAGGCCGCAGCAGGAGGCGCAGCGCCGUUCGCCCGUGCCGCAAACCACCGUCGCCGUCAUUCAAUCGGGGCAGUCCCUACUUACCCCGAACGGAUACCGCGCAACCCCGAACAACUCCGAACAGCCCCGAAUCGACCCGAAUCAAUACCGCGCAGCCACGAUUUCCUCCCCGAAGAUUACGGAGGAGAAAUAUCUACUCACGGAGGAGGAAAAUCUGCGUAGAAUAUUUAAUUAAAGAUAUUUUAUUUUAAUUAGUUUAGUUUAAUUCACGGCCCAUUGUAUUUUAUUUUAAAUUGUGCAGUACCCAAUUUAUUAAUCACGGACUGGACUUUUAUAUUAA